GCUCAUUUGGGAAGGGUGGUACAUAAGGACAACCUAAAAAAAUCGAGAGUAUUUUUACCUUUACAUAGAAAUUGUAAGGAACUGUUGUUUUCUUAUCAUUACGAAAUGCAACUCGGACUAGUACUACUUCCAAUUGUGGCAGCACGACUGGCCGACUAUUCUCACUCGACCCACAUUUCGAUAAUGAACGGAGACAAGUAUAAUAAAAGUCUCUGCAAAGGAACGUUGUAACCUUCGAGAACACCGCUUUUAUGAAUGGGUCCAAGUUUGUUAACCGGAUUUACAUCACAAGAAGAGUAUCAAGAGUAGCAGCAAUGUUUUUGACCAAUAUCACCAGGCGCAACGAAAUUUUGAUCAUACCUUACCUUCAAAGGAUAAAUGAGUUCAACCUACGCUACAAAAAGAGCAUGGAGGUUUCCGGCACCCAAAAGCCACCGCUUGUAAGCUUCACCGUCUGCUGUCUGCGUUACCAAAACCGUACUGCGCAACCGGCGAUGGCCGAAAUAUCCAAGGCUGAGGACGGACUUGAUUUAUAAGGGAGAGUAUUUAACACCCUUCUCUAUCGAAUCGCCGAUUGGACACAGGGUUCUUGUUUUUAGCUUUCACUCUAUCACUACUUUCACAGUAUCAACUACUGUGCAGAGAUUGCAGUGGAAACCUAAUUAUGAAAUCUUGCAAGAGGCGCAAUGUCAGCACUAUUGUGGGAGUUACCAGUUCAUGCCUUGCGGUGACAGAAACGGGGUGGAGAGAGUGUGUGCGAGUCCGCCAAUGUUGUUCAAUCGAUGUAAGGUUGAUGUCGAGUACUCUGUGGUUUUAAUAA